rnacentral:tRNA from 1 species
CGGGGCAUAGCGCAGUCCGGUUAGCGCACUAGUUUUGGGAACUAGGAGUCGCAGGUUCGAAUCCUGCUGCCCCGACCA